AGCCUGAACGCUGGCGGCGUGGCUAAGACAUGCAAGUCGUACGGGUGCAGCAAUGCACCAGUGGCGGACGGGUGAGUAAAGUAUCGCUAACGUGCCCCUUUGUCCGGGAUAGCCGAGGGAAACUUCGGGUAAUACCGGGAGACAUCACUUCGAGGCAUCUUGAGGUGCUCAAAGGAGUAAUCCGCGAAGGGAGCGGGCGAUAUCGUAUCAGCUAGUUGGCGGGUAACGCCCACCAAGGCGACGACGCGUAGCCGGACUGAGAGGUUGGCCGGCCACAUUGGGACUGAGACACUGCCCAGACUCCUACGGGGGCUGCAGUAACGAAUCUUCCGCAAUGCACGCAAGUGUGACGGAGCGACGCCGCGUGUGGGACGAAGCCCUUCGGGGUGUAAACCACUGUCAGGGCAGCCAAGAACUGAGCGCCCAGAGGAAGGCACGGCUAACUCUGCGCCAGCAGCCGCGGUAA
rnacentral:rRNA from 1 species